CAACUGCAAGAUCGUGUUAUAGAGGAUAAGUGAUUU
rnacentral:guide_RNA from 1 species